GAUGAACGCUGGCGGCGUGCCUAAUACAUGCAAGUCGAGCGGAAAGGCCCUUCGGGGUACUCGAGCGGCGGACGGCUGAGUAGCGCGUAGGAACGUACCCCAAAGUGAGGGAUAACUGCUCGAGAGAGUAGCUAAUACCGCAUGUGCUCUUCGGAGUAAAGCUUCGGCGCUUUGGGAACGGCCUGCGUCCUAUUAGCUAGUUGGUGAGGUAAUUGCUCACCAAGGCGACGAUAGGUAGCUGGUCUGAGAGGAUGAUCAGCCAGACUGGGACUGAGACACGGCCCAGACUCCUACGGGAGGCAGCAGUAGGGAAUUUUCCACAAUGGGCGAAAGCCUGAUGGAGCAACGCCGCGUGCAGGAUGAAUGCCUUCGGGUUGUAAACUGCUUUUAUAGGUGAAGAAUAUGACGGUAGCCUAUGAAUAAGGAUCGGCUAACUCCGUGCCAGCCGCCGCCGUAA
rnacentral:rRNA from 1 species